rnacentral:pre_miRNA from 1 species
AAUAAGUGCAGUCAUGAGUUUCCGCUCCCAACUUUAAUCGUCCGUCUUAUUUGAAAUUUUUUUAUGAUUAGUAUUUUUGUUGUUAUGAUAUGAUAAAACAUGAAUAGUACUUUACUCGUGGCUUAUUUUUUAAAGUUUUUUCAAAAUUUUUUAAAAUAAAACGAACGAUUAAAGUUGGACACGGAAACUCAUGGCUGCACUUAUU